rnacentral:rRNA from 1 species
GACGAACGCUGGCGGCGUGCUUAACACAUGCAAGUCGAACGGAAAGGCCCUGCUUUUGUGGGGUGCUCGAGUGGCGAACGGGUGAGUAACACGUGAGUAACCUGCCCUUUACUUUGUGAUAACUUCAGGAAACUGGGGCUAAUACCGGAUAGGAGCUCCUGCUGCAUGGUGGGGGUUGGAAAGUUUCGGCGGUUGGGGAUGGACUCGCGGCUUAUCAGCUUGUUGGUGGGGUAGUGGCUUACCAAGGCUUUGACGGGUAGCCGGCCUGAGAGGGUGACCGGACACAUUGGGACUGAGAUACGGCCCAGACUCCUACGGGAGGCAGCAGUGGGGAAUAUUGCACAAUGGGCGGAAGCCUGAUGCAGAAACGCCGCGUGCGGGAUGACGGCCUUCGGGUUGUAAACCGAUUUCGCCUGUGACGAAGCGUGAGUGACGGUAAUGGGUAAAGAAGCAACGGCUAACUACGUG